GAUGACUGAGCUGCUCAGUCUGUCUGCAGGUAUACAGAUGUGUUGAAGGCGUGGAGAUGACUGAGCUGCUCAGUUUGUGUCUGCAGGUGUACAGAUGUGUUGAAGGCUUGGAGAUGACUGAGCUGCUCAGUCUGUCUGCAGGUAUACAGAUGUGUUGAAGGCGUGGAGAUGACUGAGCUGCUCAGUCUGUCUGCAGGUAUACAAAUGUGUUGAAGGCUUGGAGAUGACUGAGCUGCUCAGUCUGUCUGCAGGUAUACAGAUGUGUUGAAAGCUUGAGAUGACUGAGCUGCUCAGUUGUGUGUCUGCAGGUAUACAGAUGUGUUGAAGGUGUGGAGAUGACUGAGCUGCUCUAGUCUGUCUGCAGGUAUACAGAUGUGUUGAAGGCGUGGAGAUGACUGAGCUGCUCAGUCUGUCUGCAGGUAUACAGAUGUGUUGAAGGCGUGGAGAUGACUGAGCUGCUCAGUUUGUGUCUGCAGGUAUACAGAUGUGUUGAAGGCGUGGAGAUGACUGAGCUGCUCAGUCUGUCUGCAGGUGUACAGAUGUGUUGAAGGCUUGGAGAUGACUGAGCUGCUCAGUCUGUCUGCAGGUGUACAGAUGUGUUGAAGGCUUGGAGAUGACUGAGCUGCUCAGUCUGUCUGCAGGUAUACAGAUGUGUUGAAGGCGUGGAGAUGACUGAGCUGCUCUAGUCUGUCUGCAGGUAUACAGAUGUGUUGAAGGCUUGGAGAUGACUGAGCUGCUCAGUCUGUCUGCAGGUAUACAGAUGUGUUGAAGGCUUGGAGAUGACUGAGCUGCUCAGUCUGUCUGCAGGUAUACAGAUGUGUUGAAAGCUUGGAGAUGACUGAGCUGCUCAGUUGUGUGUCUGCAGGUAUACAGAUGUGUUGAAGGCUUGGAGAUGACUGAG